rnacentral:rRNA from 1 species
CGUGUAGGCGGUUUAAUAAGUCAGAUGUUAAAGCCCCCGGCUUAACCGGGGAUAGUCAUUUGAAACUGUUAGGCUUGAGUGCGAGAGAGGGUAGUGGAAUUCCCAGUGUAGCGGUGAAAUGCGUAGAUAUUGGGAAGAACACCAGUAGCGAAGGCGGCUACCUGGCUCGCAACUGACGCUAAUGCGCGAAAGCGUGGGGAGCAAACA